rnacentral:rRNA from 1 species
UACGUAGGGGGCUAGCGUUGUCCGGAAUCAUUGGGCGUAAAGAGCGUGUAGGCGGCCCGAUAAGUCCGCCGUGAAAGUCCAGGGCUCAACCCCGGAAUGCCGGUGGAAACUGUCGGGCUGGAGUCCGGAAGAGGCGAGUGGAAUCCCUGGUGUAGCGGUGAAAUGCGCAGAUAUCAGGAGGAACACCAAUGGCGAAGGCAGCUCGCUGGGACGGUACUGACGCUGAGACGCGAAAGCGUGGGGAGCAAACAGG